rnacentral:ncRNA from 1 species
CUUAGAGGGGACUACGGCCUUUCAAGCCGCGGAAGUUUGAGGCAAUAACAGGUCUGUGAUGCCCUUAGAUGUUCUGGCCGCACGCGCGCUACACUGAUGUAUUCAACGAGCAUAUAGCCUUGGCCGACAGGCCCGGGUAAUCUUUGAAAUUUCAUCGUGAUGGGGAUAGAUCAUUGCAAUUGUUGGUCUUCAACGAGGAAUUCCUAGUAAGCGCGAGUCAUCAGCUCGCGUUGACUACGUCCCUGCCCUUUGUACACACCGCCCGUCGCUCCUACCGAUUGAAUGAUCCGGUGAAGUGUUCGGAUCGCGGCGACGUGGCGGUUCGCUGCCCGCGACGUCGCGAGAGAAGUCCACUGAACCUUAUCAUUUAGAGGAAGGAGAAGUCGUAACAAGGUUUCCGUAGGUGAACCUGCGGAAGGAUCAUUG